rnacentral:rRNA from 1 species
UACGGAGGGAGCUAGCGUUGUUCGGAAUUACUGGGCGUAAAGCGCGCGUAGGCGGCUUUGUAAGUUAGAGGUGAAAGCCUGGAGCUCAACUCCAGAAUUGCCUUUAAGACUGCAUCGCUUGAAUCCAGGAGAGGUGAGUGGAAUUCCGAGUGUAGAGGUGAAAUUCGUAGAUAUUCGGAGGAACACCAGUGGCGAAGGCGGCUCACUGGUCCAUUACUGACGCUGAGGUGCGAAAGCGUGGGGAGCAAACAGG